UUGGAGGGCAAGUCUGGUGCCAGCAGCCGCGGUAAUUCCAGCUCCAAUAGCGUAUAUUAAAGUUGUUGCAGUUAAAAAGCUCGUAGUUGAAUUUCGGGAUCAAAGGAUCGGUCAUGCCUUGGUAUGUACUGGUUUUAUUGGUUCUCACCUUCUAAAGAACCAUAAUGUCAUUCAUUUGAUGUUAUGGGGAAUUAGGACUGUUACCUUGAAAAAAUUAGAGUGUUUAAAGCAGGCUUACGCUUGAAUACAUUAGCAUGGAAUAAUGAAAUAGGACAUCAGAUUCUAUUUUGUUGGUUUCUAGGAUCGAUGUAAUGAUUAAUAGGGAUAGUUGGGGGCAUUAGUAUUCAAUUGUCAGAGGUGAAAUUCUUGGAUUUAUUGAAGACUAACUACUGCGAAAGCAUUUGCCAAGGAUGUUUUCAUUAAUCAAGAACGAAAGUUAGGGGAUCGAAGACGAUCAGAUACCGUCGUGGUCUUAACCAUAAACUAUGCCGACUAGGGAUCGGAUGAUGUUAAUUUUAUAAUGACUCAUUCGGCGCCUUACGGGAAAC
rnacentral:rRNA from 1 species